rnacentral:misc_RNA from 1 species
GUGAAUCAUCGAAUCUUUGAACGCACAUUGCGCCCCUUGGUAUUCCGGGGGGCAUGCCUGUUCGAGCGUCAUUGCAACCCUCAAGCCUGGCUUGGUAUUGGGCUUCGCCACUAACCUGGCGGGCCUUAAAAUCAGUGGCGGCGCCUCCGAGGCCCUGAGCGCAGUAAAUAUCCUCGCUAUAGGGACCCGGUGGCUACUGGCCAGCAACCCCAACUUUCCAAGUUUGACCUCGGAUCAGGUAGGGAUACCCGCUGAACUUAAGCAUAUCAAUAAGCGGAGGA